UACGUAGGGGGCAAGCGUUGUCCGGAAUCAUUGGGCGUAAAGAGCGUGUAGGCGGCCCGGUAAGUCCGCUGUGAAAGUCCAGGGCUCAACCCUGGAAUGCCGGUGGAAACUGUCGGGCUAGAGUCCGGAAGAGGCGAGUGGAAUUCCUGGUGCAGCGGUGAAAUGCGCAGAUAUCAGGAGGAACCCCAGAGGCGAAGGCGGCGCUCUGGCUCAGCCCUGACGCUCAGACACGACAGCAUGGGGAGCGAACGGG
rnacentral:rRNA from 1 species